GACGAACGCUGGCGGCGUGCUUAACACAUGCAAGUCGAACGGAAAGGCCCUGCUUUUGUGGGGUGCUCGAGUGGCGAACGGGUGAGUAACACGUGAGUAACCUGCCCUUGACUUUGGGAUAACUUCAGGAAACUGGGGCUAAUACCGGAUAGGAGCUCCUGCUGCAUGGUGGGGGUUGGAAAGUUUCGGCGGUUGGGGAUGGACUCGCGGCUUAUCAGCUUGUUGGUGGGGUAGUGGCUUACCAAGGCUGUGACGGGUAGCCGGCCUGAGAGGGUGACCGGCCACAUUGGGACUGAGAUACGGCCCAGACUCCUACGGGAGGCAGCAGUGGGGAAUAUUGCACAAUGGGCGGAAGCCUGAUGCAGCAACGCCGCGUGCGGGAUGACGGCCUUCGGGUUGUAAACCGCUUUCGCCUGUGACGAAGCGUGAGUGACGGUAAUGGGUAAAGAAGCACCGGCUAACUACGUG
rnacentral:rRNA from 1 species